GAGUCUUGUCAUUAAGGUGUGUGUAAUUUAGUCCAGUUGGUAUUUCUGACUAGACUGCAUUUGUUUUUAACAAAGUAGAAGAAUGCUAUGCGUAUUAAACCUUGCAUAAGUCCUCAUUCUACCACAUGUUCACUAACCCCUGACCCUCUGGCUGGUAACACAAAACACUAACGGGGAUUUUCUUUAAGGGCUCUAGAGUAAAACAACAAGCUAUUCACACCAGCAUCAUCUGUUCCUAAUCUAGUUAGUGAGCUUUUCAUUGUGUUUGGUCUUACGCCUAGACUGAGUUUGGUUUUGUUUUUAAUCUUUAAGGGGGAAAACUGUACAAGGUUUGCUUUUCCUUGUGGAGUUUAUAAACAUGGGGGUAAGAGUACAGCUUGAGCUUAUUGGACUCUGCCAAUGAAGAUGGGUUAGGUUACACCUGGUUACUAUCCUGGCAAAAAAAU
rnacentral:lncRNA from 1 species